CAUUUCGAAUUAUUUACGACGAAUAAUUAUGCAAAAAUCACAACAUUUCUUUUUAUUUUCAAACGUCUCGAUCUGACAUAGACCUGAGUAUUAUCGAGAUAACCAAAACAAAACGAUAUCAUGUUGAUCAAAUUUUAUAAUAAAAUACUAGACAAACAUCACCGAAUCGAAUGCUUUAAAUAGGGCUGCCGAAAGAGAGAAAAAAUCAUUACGUAUUCUGUUUUCAAAACGAGCAGUUCGGUUGUAAUUUGGAAAGAAAAAUGCAUCAGUGGUCAAAUAGAAAAAUGAAAGAGCUAGAUCCUAAGCCCAUAAUACCUGAAGAACGAUGUUAUGAACAAGUGAUAAAGUGCAACUGCAUCAUCAAGGAAAGAGACGUGUAUCAUCCACCUAAUCCUCCACCUGAUCCUCCACCACGAAUACAAACCUCUUGUCCCGAUUGGCCAUCCGUAGAAAGAGACUCUAGAUCCGUUUCAGUUUUUGACCCCAACAGAGGCAUCCCUUUGUAUCCAUCAGUUGGUCCAAAUCAAACCUUAGUGAAUCAUCGAGAAUACAUGUUUGACCCCAACAGAGGCAUCCCACAUUAUCCACCAGUUGAUCCAAAUCAAACCUUUGUGAAUCAUCAAGAAUACAUCAUGCCACAGCCAUUGGCUCAAAGAACGGACAACAAAACCAUCAAAAAACAAGACACGGCUAAACGAAAAAGGAGCAGUAAUUGUACACUUUUUUGAGCAGCUAGAAGGGUCGUACAGAAUCGCUUUAAUAAUCAAAUAAGUGAUACCUAAAAUUUAUUAUUUUCAUGUUGAAUAAACAAAUUUUUAAAUGUA